rnacentral:rRNA from 1 species
UACGGGGGGGGCAAGCGUUGUUCGGAAUUACUGGGCGUAAAGGGCUCGUAGGUGGCCAACUAAGUCAGACGUGAAAUCCCUCAGCUUAACUGGGGAACUGCGUCUGAUACUGGAUGGCUUGAGUUUGGGAGAGGGAUGCGGAAUUCCAGGUGUAGCGGUGAAAUGCGUAGAUAUCAGGAGGAACACCGGUGGCGAAGGCGCUCAUCUGGCCCAAUACUGACGCUGAUGCGCGAAAGCUAGGGGAGCAAACGGG